rnacentral:rRNA from 1 species
AGCGAACGCUGGCGGCAGGCCUAACACAUGCAAGUCGAACGAAGUCUUCGGACUUAGUGGCGGACGGGUGAGUAACACGUGGGAACGUACCUUUUGGUUCGGAACAACUCAGGGAAACUUGAGCUAAUACCGGAUGAGCCCUUAGGGGGACAGAUUUAUCGUCGAAAGAGCGGCCCGCGUUAGAUUAGCUAGUUGGUGAGGUAAAGGCUCACCAAGGCUACGAUCUAUAGCUGGUCUGAGAGGAUGAUCAGCCACACUGGGACUGAGACACGGCCCAGACUCCUACGGGAGGCAGCAGUGGGGAAUCUUGCGCAAUGGGCGAAAGCCUGACGCAGCCAUGCCGCGUGAAUGAUGAAGGUCUUAGGAUUGUAAAAUUCUUUUACCAGGGACGAUAAUGUCGGUACCUGGAGAAAAAGCCCCGGCUAACUUCGUGCCAGCCGCCGCAGUAAGAC